GUAUUAUUCCAUGAAGUACUUAAAACUAAUCUCCUUGAACUAAAACGGACAUUAAAAAUACUAAGCUAAAAUCAAAACUAAACGACGUAAAGCAAAGCAAAAAUACAUCAACAAUGACAAAAACUAGCAUAAUCAAUUAAUUUAAAAAAAUAGCAACAAACAGAAAAAUCAGAGAAUAGAUUAAGAGCUAAAUGAAAUGAUCACUAAAUAGAAUUAUAACAAAAACUAAAAACAAAUGACGGGAAACAAAAAAUCAAAAACUUGGAGGAAAGGAUAAGGAUUCACGUUUAUACUAAGCUCCGAGAUAUUCGACGACGAAUCGAGCAACGAGAUGAUUCUGAGGAUUCCAAGUGGUGGCUGUCUAACCUAGAAACACUCGUUUCAUUUCGGCAAACGCUAAUCUCAUUGAACUCAGCGUCGUGCCAAAAGGAAAUGGGUGUCUUUAGGUUUAAUAUGCUUUUAAAACAUAGGUCCAUGUAAGUAGGCGGUUGUAGUGAGGCCAGGCCGUAGUAGCGAGUCAGUAGGGGCAGAAAGGAAAAAAACAAUAAAGAGGAAAAGAAAAGUGAGCAGCGGAACUGGUGGCGGUCGUCGGAAUUCGAACGGGAUUUCGGGUGAAGACCAAGGGGAAAGGGUAGGUAUUAUGGAGCCUUUUCCACUGAUAUAUGUGUUUUAGGGUGGUGGUGACUGGAGCUUCAAGAAUUUGGGCAAAAAAAAGUGGCAGCUAGGGUUUCAUAGAUCUAAAAUUCAAGGGGUUUGAGCGAGUUUUGAGGGAUUUGGGUUGGAGAUUUGGAAAGAGGAGGUUGAGAUGAUUAUACGGUGAGAUUUUGGAGUGAUAUGGAUGACGGCCGCCGCCGGUGGGCGAUUCUAGGCCGAUGGCGUUUGGCGGAGCAUAGGCGGCAGCUGGACGAUGAGGGAGAAGAGAGAAAAGAUGAGGUUAGGUUUUGGGGUAAAU
rnacentral:lncRNA from 1 species